ACCUCACGUGAUCCGCGCACCACAGCCUCCCAAAGUGCUGGGAUUACAAGCGUGAGCCACCGCGCCUGGCCGACUAAGAACAAUUCUAAAGACAUACUGAAAGACUAAGAAAUGUCACAGCACAGGACAACCGAAGCACUUGAAGAAAUUUCAAAUAUUCUUAAAAGUAUGAAUUCCAAUGACAGAAAAUGUAUUUCAUUUGUCAAAAUUCUUAAUUUCUCAAGUUCAAAAAUGCCUUGGCACAUUUCCAUGGCUCCUCGCUAGAAGAAUUUAACUUGGCUCUACUUCCAGGGCAGACCAGAACAGUGGGUGAUUUUCCUCCUGCCAUUUUCUUGGGACAGUGAAAAGUGGAGAAGAGAAUGUUUAAAUUGUUGCCUGCUGGGGACACAUCGCACUCCUCAAUUUGGGUGGUGCCAACCGCUGUUGGAAUUAGUUAUCUAGCUGAAAUUUUGUCUUUCAAAGGACUAGUGCAUCACUCUGCUGCAAAGCUUGGAAAAGCUCUGAUAGCCUCAAGUCUCUGCUCUGCUUUUGUGGUGGAGCCUUGGACAGACGUGGAAUUAAGGAUCCCGUCCAGGAUCCCACAUUCCAUGUAGUCACUGCCUCCUUAGGCUCCUCCUGGCUGUGACAGUUUCUCAGAUUUCCCUUGUUUCUAAUGAUUGUGGCAGUUUUGAAGAGCACCGGUCAGGUUGAUUUUAGUGCAUUUGAGCUACAAUCAUAUUUUAUUAUCUGGAAAAUGCCUCGAAGACAUCUGUGGAUCUACAAACUUCCAGGGCUACUCUCUGCAUACAAAGGAGGCAUGAACAGGCCUUUCUACUCAGAAGUGGACUAAGGUUCCCUCCACCUAAGGCAAACUGCCCGGGGCAACUGCCCAGCAUGGAAAGCUUUGGUCUUCACGGUCUUGACUUUUUACCAGCAUCUCUGAAGCCCCAAAGUCACAUAAGAAUUUAUUUGACUGAAAAUUAUUUAAGAACUUUAUGUGUUAAUUUUCCUUAUAAAGUGAAAGUUGAUCACUUUCUUUUCCCAUAUGUCCUUUGCCCAGACACAACUUAUUGUUACUCUGUUUUCAAUAUCGAAGCAAGAAAUGGAAUUCAUUGUGAGCCUGCCCCAGUGCUAUUCAGACUCAUUCUAUCCAGGGAGCAACUUCACUCCAUAAUUUGUGUAGAUACAGUUACUUACCUACCCACUCUCUAGUACAUAACUCCCCAUACACACCCACGGACUUCUUCCCCUAGGGAACUAGUCAGUGGUGUGUCUCCCUUUACCAGGCAAGUGCAUGAAAUCAGUGCAUGAUGUGCUGGUCAAUGUGGUGAUCUUUUCCCCUCUUUUAACCUGGGGAAGAGAGUUUAUGGCAGAAACCACAGCUUUAAUCCACACAUCUUUGUGUACCAACCUCAGUGUUCUACAAGGCAGAGAAGAGAAUGGGUCCAGCGAUUCCUCCUGAGCAGUUGUCACGGAAAUCUCUUGCUCUCCUUUGGGAAGAUGAGUUUUACUCUCAAUGAUGCAUUGAUACUCACCAUUAUUACAAGGACUAGUGAACAAGAACUUGUUAUGUGCCAGCACUGUGCUAUGCUUCACUCAAGCCAGUUAAUUCCUGCACUCUCCUGCAUUACUGAAUGAUUUUUCUUUUCUUCUGAAUGGUAGUUUUUAAAUGUAGGACUACUGUUUCUUCAUCAUUUGAGUUUGGGAAUUAGGCCUCAAAUGAGGCAGCUUAUGAAAUCUGCUUUGGAGGUCAGGGGUCUUCUCCAUAGUGGAAAACAUCUACCUGACCCUUUUUAGGCCCCAAACUCCUCUCCAGGGUGUAGUGAAUGCAUGGCACUGGCAUCCCUCCUGUAAAUGGAGGGGCUUAGAUCUCUGGAGGAAACUUCUGGGCUAGUAUGUGGCUACCACGAGAAUGGCUACAAGUGGGAAUAAAAGGGCUUUGAUCACCUUAGUCUUGAGUUCCAGGCAGUUUUUCUGGGCCAUGUCACUGAUCAAGCAUGGUGACAUCAAAGUAAGGUAUUUUCCUUUUUUUUUUUUUGAAAUAGUG
rnacentral:lncRNA from 1 species